AUACUUUACCUAACCAGGGUAAUACUAUGAUCACAAAGGUGGUUUUCGCAGGGCAAGGUUUAUCCAUUGCACGUUGGAUGUGCUGAUCCAUGUGAUUUUCCCAAAUGUGGGAAACUUGACUGCAUAAUUUGUGAUAGUGUGGAACAGUGUUUGUGUUCUUGCCCU